rnacentral:lncRNA from 1 species
UGACGUAUGGGGAAAUAUUGUGAUAUGAUGUUGAGGUCUCGCGUGGUAUAGGUUAUCCGGCGUUGAGACAGACCUCAUACGUGGCGUUGGUUAUACCGGCGUAUGGGGAGAUUAUGUGAUAUUAUGUUGAGGUCGCGUAUGGUGUAGGUUAUCCGGCCUGUCGACAGACCCCAUACGUGACCUUGGUUGUACCGGCGUAUGGGGAGAUAUGUGAUAUGAUGUGCAGGUCUCGCGUGGCGUAGGUUAUCUGGCGUUGAGACAGACCCCAUUUGUGACGUUAGUUGUACCGGCGUAUGGGGAGAUAUUGUGACAGUAUGGUAUGG